UACGUAGGUGGCAAGCGUUGUCCGGAUUUAUUGGGUUUAAAGGGUGCGUAGGUGGUCUAUUAAGUCAGUGCUGAAAUAUCCCGGCUUAACCGGGAGGGUGGCAUUGAUACUGAUGGACUUGAGUAAAAGUUGAGGUUGGCGGAAUUGACGGUGUAGCGGUGAAAAUGCUUAGAUAUCGUCAAGAACACCUAUUGCGAAGGCAGCUAACUAAGCUUUAACUGACACUGAGGCACGAAAAGUGUGGGGGAUCAAAACAGG
rnacentral:rRNA from 1 species